AAACAGGCAUUUCUUGGGGCAGCCGCUCGCGGAGGCCCGGAAGGCCGGCGAGCGGAGGCCGGGCGCAUGCGCCGUGAGCCUCCAGUGCUUAGCGCGGCGCGGAUCUGUAGUUUUUUUGCGUGGGGUGUCGUAGGCGUUUUUUGAGAGAACGUGGGAAGUUAGGGCUGGAAGGCGUCUCUAAGGUGUUCCUAGGCCAGCACGAUCGUCUUCUAAAGGCAGACAGGGUCCUAAGCCAAAUAUGGAAAGUUAUGGGCAGAGCAAGCGCCACAUCACAUCACCUGUCAUCUGACCCAGUCCUUUGCCUUUCAUUAGCUCUUUUCUAACCCCGAUCUCCCCCACAUCUUGUAUCGAGAUCUGGGCUCUCCCGGUUCACUGGUGAGCCACAAGGAACUGCGCAGAUGUGAACCAGAAAACAUUGACUGAGGGCCUCCAGUAUGCCAGGCAUUUUGGAAUUUAAAGAAAGCCUGUGUGUUAGGCAGUGACCCCAUUUAAGUUUGAGAUUGAUAAAUGGCCACAUAGCUAGUGAGUGGCGGAGUUGGGAUCGCAAGAGGUUUCAGUGUAAACAGGCAAGGGGCAUCAGUAUCCCAUGAGUGGUGGUGAUCUGGGAAGACUUCCAGAAAAGAUUGAAUUGGUGUGUAACAGAAGCUCUCUACUACACGGUUGAAACUUUAUAGUUUAAUACGACCGGAAGCAAACAUUGUAAUGUAGGAAAGUGGCAUUUGAUGAGAAAAACAUAAUGUAAAGUGAAAAGGCAAGAUCUUCAGUGAAGGCUACGUGAGAGGUCGGAGAAACCGGAGGAACAAGGUUAAAGCUUGAAUUUCUGGACACACAGAAGGGUUGCUGGGCACUGUUGGCAACCACAGAUUUGUGUUCACACUGCUCUAAAGACUGUCAUUUUCCUACAACAGUGGUCUGGAGCUUGGAUACUGGAACAGAGGGGAAUGACUGGGUUAAUCCAGGUUGAGGUCUUACGUGGCAGAGGUAUAGAAACAAAGGGCAAGACAGGGAACAUGGUAGUGAAUGAUGAAAAUGAAAGACCUGGGGUUUAGGCCUGAUAAAGAAAAGUGAAGCCAGAAGUGAACUGAUUAGGAAAACACAUGCCCCAAGACUCAUCUGGGUAACUCCAGGACCAGAAGCCUGGUAAGGCAGGUCAGCCAGGUGACACACAUUUGAUAGCACCUUGAACAGAAGUGAAGGUCAGAGUCCUCUAAAAUUUCAAGGGGAUUUCUGAGACUGCCACUAGCUUUUCAUACCGUAAUGAAGGAAGUGAUAACAAAGGUUGUAAGUCAGGUGUUCAUUUAUUAAAUACAAGCUUUGAACAAACACCCCCAGGCAAGUUUGACAAGAAGUAACCUUCCUGGAAUGUUUCAAAAUACAGUUACGUUGAUCAAAUUUCAUUUCAAUCAACCUUUUUGUUGUUUUGUUUUAUUUUUUUGUUUAUUUGUUUCUAGGUUUUCCUGUGUUGCAGUUAGAGCAUGUGCAUUAUUUCCUCAUAUGACAUCAACAGUGCAGCGUCAGCCUCUCUGGCUUGUAAAGGCACCCAGUAGACUUCUGCUCUGGGCAAUGGCUGCUUAGCAACCAGCAUCAAAUAAAGUAAUGAAGCUUUUGUAGACUGUGAUACCAAAUAGGAACUGGCACCUUCACCUGCACCGGUAAAAAACUUUUAAAGUUUCUUUGUUUUUACAUAUCCAUUAAAAACUAUAUAUAUUAAAAAAAAAAAAAA